rnacentral:rRNA from 1 species
UACGUAGGGUGCAAGCGUUGUCCGGAAUUAUUGGGCGUAAAGAGCUUGUAGGCGGUUUGUCGCGUCUGCUGUGAAAUUUCGGGGCUCAACCCCGAACUUGCAGUGGGUACGGGCAGACUAGAGUGUGGUAGGGGAGACUGGAAUUCCUGGUGUAGCGGUGAAAUGCGCAGGAUAUCAGGAGGAACACCGAUGGCGAAGGCAGGUCUCGUGGGCCAUAACUGACGCUGAGAAGCGAAGCAUGGGAGCGAACAGG